GUAUUGAUACCACUAACUUAGAUUGAAAUAAAAUGGACAGAAAAGAAGGAAUUCCUGUGGGACAUAUAAGGGGCUGGGUUGGAGUGGCUGGGGCCAAGGCUGGCUCAGGGCCUCGUGGGCACAUGUGUCCUGCAGAAGCUGCAGAAAGGGAAGAGGAACACGUACAUUAGGAGUGGAGUGCUCAGAGAAGAACCCUCCAGAAGGAAAUUAAUGGUCCCUGCGCACAGCUCUUUAGGUUGCAGGUCCCUUUGAGGAAGGUGAUAUCCUAGCUCAUCCUGUUGGUACAUUUUGCAUAUUUGAGAUAAGUCCUAGAUUAAAGUGGAAAGCUGGCUGAGACUGUUUUCUGAGAACAUCAAGACAGUGAUAAUAUAAUCCAACUUGCUAUCACCUUAAAAGAGGAAGUGGAGCUAAUAGUCCCAUAAUGCAUUAUUUCUAUAAUUGGUGGAAGGAUAUAAU
rnacentral:lncRNA from 1 species